rnacentral:rRNA from 1 species
UACGGAGGGUGCAAGCGUUAUCCGGAUUCACUGGGUUUAAAGGGUGCGUAGGCGGGUUGGUAAGUCCGUGGUGAAAUCCCCAAGCUUAACUUGGGAACUGCCGUGGAUACUAUCAAUCUUGAAUAUCGUGGAGGUAAGCGGAAUAUGUCAUGUAGCGGUGAAAUGCUUAGAUAUGACAUAGAACACCAAUUGCGUAGGCAGCUUACUACACGAUCAUUGACGCUGAGGCGCGAAAGCGUGGGGAGCAAACAGG